UUGGUAGCAUACUGCUUCCUGAGAAUAAUGUUGCUGAUAGCAAGACAAAGUCCUAGAAACUUCACUGUCCUAAGCAGUAACUAAGGAGGCCCAUGCAUACAAAGAAUGCAACUUGGUACCCCAGGAGCCUAUGGAGCACAACAUACCAGACUGAUGAGAUUGCAGCAGUCUUGAAGAACUUCCUGAGGUUUCCCUUGCUGCUUUCGAUCCAAGAUGUACCACUGCACAGCAAUAAUCAAACCUGGAAGGAACAGAGAGGUGCACAUGGUAAAUAUCAGGCCUCCAGCAGAGCGGGGCAGUAGUUGCCUGGACAGCCACAGACCCUGCAGUUCAAAUAGCUAUUUCAGAUCACUCACAGGUGAGCUACCAUGAGAACUUACUGAAGUUUAUCCACAUGUUACACUCCAACUGCUUCCUCCUGUCUAGGGAACAAGCCAAUCAUAACAAGGAAUUACAUCUUGUACGGACGCACAGCUGAAGGCUGCAGCAUGAGAUGCCACAAAACUCAUUUCAGAGUACCUGAGAAAGAAUCCAAAAAGGAUUUGGAAAGAUUUUUCCUUGUCGUCGGGUAACUCUCAGGCUAUUUGUACAAGGUUUUGUAUGCACCAUCCGAGACCGUGAAAUAACAAGAAGCUGAAAUGUAAACUUGCAUUCUUAGAUCACUCUCUCCAAGGUGUAUUAUGAAACACAAUGUUUGUCAUCCGUGUCAACAACACACGAUUAGGGGCGGGAGCAGAAAACACACUGUGGGGAAAGCUGAAUGGCCACAAAGGACUACAGGAGGAAACAAAGGUAAAGACUGAGCAAGAACGGAUCAAACCUGUGAAAGCAAGUAGAUGGGAUGCCCAGCAAAGCCCAUCUGACUGCCAGGCAGCCAGGGCAGCACAUCUGCCAUCACAGCACUGCCUCAGAGCCAGCUGCCUACUGGCACUUGGAGCUGCGGAGGGGACCUUGCAGCAAAGUGACUGCUGAGCGCCUUACUUGGACGGGGCACAGCGGAGGAUGGAGAUGCUGCACAGAGCCCUGCCUGCUCAGCAUUUUCCAAAGUGAGGCAGAUUGUUUUGCCACACCAUUACAAAUCUGGGAGCCUCCUUCUAGAUAGUCCUGUUUGGAAAUCUGGGCUGGGGCCUUUUAAAGACUUAGCAACUCCCUGGUUAAGCUUUUAAUAUCCACAUUAAAUAGAUCACUGAGCGUGUCCUGGUAUUCAGGAGAACAGUGGGCCAUUCUUGGCUAACGAGUAACUUCUACACAAAGAAAUUAUUUGGUACCUCUGUGCUUUUUCUCCUCCUGCUUUGUCUGUGCAUAGUGCAGUCUUUGAGGGAGGGACUGGUCCUUAACACAGCAAGCACCAGCUUCCUCUGUGCUCCUCAGUCCUCCCUUCACCAGCAGCAGCCUCUCAACCCAAGGGCUUCUGCAUAGGCUUGACUUUCACCCCGCUGUUCUACAGCAUUUUAUUAUUAAUCACUAUUUAAACUUCAAAUCUGGAGCCCUAAAUUCUGUAAUGCUAAAUUAUCCAUAUUCCAUGAUUGCUAAAUCCUUGCCCAAACAGGUGACUGGACAGGAUGCCCCAUUGCUCCAGCAGCCCAGCACUAAGCUGUGAGUUUAAAGAGCUCCUCUAGCAGGGCAGCAGCAUUCUUUCAACCACCAGGAAUCAAAAGCCUCCAUGCACACAAGAAAGCUGCCUGCCUCAGUUCUGGUCCUCACAAUUCAAGGGGAGCAAAGCUGCUGAUCCCUUCGAAGCAUUUAAAGUCGGCAGAGAUGAGUGCAUCCCUGGGGCUGCACUUGGCCAAUUUUUGCUUUUGCAAUUUUUGUUUGCCUUCGCUUCACGAAGCAGAGCUCUUAGCUAAUCAUGUGUCACUGGACUUCUGGAUUUAGAGACAAAGAAGUGGCUGGCCUGCUCUGUGCAAAUAGCUUUGGUGCUUGGCCACAGCGGGGCAUCUGGAAAGCAAACAGCACAUUUGACAUGGCUGUCAAGGAUCGAGAUACAAGUGGUACAAAUGGCAGAAGUGUCUGUCCAUCCAUCUACCUGCCUGUUCAGGAAUGCCAAGAGCACCAGCCUACGGCAGGGCUGACACUCUUGUUUGUGUCGUUCCUGUCCAUCUGACCUUGCUGUACCAGACAGGCUAUUUGUCAGUGCCAGAGAAAUCUGCCACAACAACAGAGGGAAUAUCUGGUGUCAGUAUCCUCCAGCUUCUUGAUGGAAAUAUCUCAUUAGAGAAACUAAACCAGUGCUUUGAUUGCUCGGAAGGAAGCCAUUUGUUUUGCAGAAAUCUCCGAGCUGUUAUUCACUUCUUGUAAAACUAUAAUGCCUCAAGUCUUAUUCUAAAGCAGCCUUGGAUAGCUGGAAUGACUUGAAGUUUGCAACCAAUAAAAAAAUUUUACAGCAAAGCAGAGCUGAUCAGUGCUUCCUAAGUGCAGUAAUUAAUCUUUUCUGUCAAAAUGUCAUCAAAUUUUGCUGGAUUUAAGAAUAACAAAAUGUUUUAUUGGAGAAAGUAAUAAAACAGGACAUUUCCAUGGCUGCAGGGAUGUUUCGAAUGCGUUUGACAUUUGUAUCUUUUCCUGAGAAAAUUUGGAGCUGAAACCCUUAAUACACCUAGAGCAGGCAGUUCGUCCUGGAGCAGCCAGGUAUUUUGCCACAGUCAGCUUGGAGCUGCCUCAGACUUUGGCAGAGGACACCAAAUGUGAAGGGGAUGGCUGCUGUGUUGGUGUCCUACCUGGGGAAAGAAGCCUGUGGACUUGGCAUAUUGCAGCUGUAGCCCAUGUGAGGACACAACUGGAGAGUCACAAUACUAGAGACCUUUCCACCUCAUUCCUAUCUCUGCUACAUUUUGUAAAACUAGAUCUGGGUCACUCCCAUAAUGUUAAAUUUACUUUGAUCUGAAGAAAUUCUGGUGCCCAGUUCCCUUUAUUACCUCUUAACAUCUUGUGCACUGUACAGAACAAACUAAAAACACAUACCAGCAACUUAUCAGCGUCACACAGAAAGUGCCCGGAUGCUCUUCCAGAGCAGAAGGUUGGGGAUUUGGAUCAUGGAUGAGUCAAAAGGUGAAGAGAGGCUUUGUCUUAGCAUCACUCUCCCAAGAACACUCACACUACCUAUAGACAGCUCAGCUAAUGCUUCUUAAUGUGCGGCCGUCAAUGGAAGCUUCAGCCAUCUGCGAUUCCUGCUUUCUUUCCCACAAUUCGUUCUCUGUCCAUCUUUCUCCCUCUCUGCUGCUCGCUUCCCCCUCUCCUGCUGCCCUGCAGAGUGUUUAGUGCUGGGUAGUGGGAUUAUGACUUACCAAUAAUCCAGAAGAUUAUGACGUCAGAGCACUC